CAGCGAGGUUCGAUUGAGCAUUCUUCUUCGUCUAUUUCGUAGCUACCUUCGGAGCGUGUAUCUGGGAUUCUCGAUAAAACGGCGAAAUUCCUUCAACGCAUGGAUGGCGGAAAGUGUCGGAUCCGAUUCUAAUUGCGAACGUCGUGACGUAACGCGUUGCUAAUGGAAUGCUUCCGUGGAAGCUUCUCGGAGCAAACAGUAUCGGUAUCAAGCGGUGAGAUCGAUAUCUACGACAGGACACCUGACAGUGCUGAUGAAACAUUACUCUGUGGAAGCUGCGUCUCGAUUAUACUUCGAGAAGCGCGUGGACUAUCGUCGAGUUUAGCACGUCUUGCGGAAGUACUUGACAAUCGUGGAAAUGGAGUUUCGAAACUUGCAAUGUUCGUUAAACUUACGAGCGAUACUGCGAAAGAUGUCUCGGCUUAUGACUUGGUAAAUAACAGUAUGCGUACGUGUUCGCAACGUGGUCGUCGUUUUAUUACACCGUUGUAGGAGCUCAAAACUUCAGCGCACAUCGCGCCGUACCUUCUUUCCUUCCUUUUCUUCUUCUUUUUUUUUCAAGAAUCUCCAUUUCGCAAAGUUCGCGAAAUCCCUAUCAAACUUGGAAGUUUGUUUACUUCGAGGGCGCGCUAUCUGAACUAAGACCUCCGUACGCAUUUCCAGAUAGUUGAUGUUACUGUUGCAGUUUACCACAGCUACAGUGCUCUUGUUACACUUCAAUGAAGUUAAUGCCGUUCGCCGAUGCAAGCUGCUUGGUAGGCUAAGGUGGUUGCCGAGUUACGCCACGAUGUUCUAUGACGAUAUACAUGUAAUUCUAAUUGAUUGUGAAAUGUAAUUGCCGCAUAAGCGUUAAAAGAUUCAUGCGCAAACACGACAUGUGCAAGUCGACUGUACAAGACAUCUCAAGACAAUUAGCAAGACCGCAACAGGAUAUUCUUAAUCAAGGUUAUCUUCCGAAAAUGUGCAGCUUGAAAAUAAUAGAGAUAGAUGAAAUACAAGUCCGUAUAUUCGAUUUUUCUCGUAACACGAACAAAAAAUUAGCCGCACUAUAUAGCUAAUAUAUAGCUGUAGCAGCCAAGAUGUAUCAAUCAAAUAGGCUUAUGUUAUUGCUAAUAAAGCUAAAUUUAUUAGCUAUUUGAA